rnacentral:rRNA from 1 species
AUUGAACGCUAGCGGCAUGCCUAACACAUGCAAGUCGAGCGAGCGGCGGACGGGUGAGUAAUGUAUGGGGACUGCCCGAUAGAGGGGGAUAACUACUGGAAACGGUGGCUAAUACCGCAUACUAUCGGAUAACCCAUAUGGGAUUAGCUAGUAGGUGGGGUAAAGGCUCACCUAGGCGACGAUCUCUAGCUGGUCUGAGAGGAUGAUCAGCCACACUGGGACUGAGACACGGCCCAGACUCCUACGGAGGCAGCAGUGGGGAAUAUUGCACAAUGGGCGAAAGCCUGAUGCAGCCAUGCCGCGUGUAUGAAGAAGGCCGUAGGGUUGUAAAGUACUUUCGGCAGGGAAGCGGUACCCGCAGAAGAAGCACCGGCUAACUCCGUGCCAGCAGCCGCGGUAAUUC